rnacentral:lncRNA from 1 species
GACUCAUCGUUAUUAUUCUGCUACUUUUCCUCUGUUUAAUAGAAUAAAGCUAGCUAAGUGCUAUGCAGAUUGUUAUAUUUUAUAAAUUCUGGAUCAUACGUUAUUACAAAUGAUGCACUUGCUAUAUCUGGUUUUCAUCUAUACUGUAUGUGCUAGCGAGUCGAUCCAGGGACUAGCACAGUAAAGCACAGAGACUCAAAUCCUUCGAGGUUUGGUCGUUACAGAUGGCAUCAGAGCAAUGCGUUGACUGUAGGU